rnacentral:ribozyme from 1 species
CGCUUUGAAGAGGAGAUUUUUUGCAGCUGAGCCACCUCUUCUAUACUGGUUUCUCACUGAAGAGGACUACACAUCAUUUGCCUCGUCUCAUUUUCAAGCCAAAAGAAAAGGAAAACAACCUGGUGAUGAUGGGGAGACAGGGGAAUCGAAGUGCAAAGGAUGCGGUGUGGUGAGGCACGUUGCAGAG